AGCGUAGACGGCUGUGCAAGUCUGAAGUGAAAGGCAUGGGCUCAACCUGUGGACUGCUUUGGAAACUGUGCAGCUAGAGUGUCGGAGAGGUAAGUGGAAUUCCUAGUGUAGCGGUGAAAUGCGUAGAUAUUAGGAGGAACACCAGUGGCGAAGGCGGCUUACUGGACGAUGACUGACGUUGAGGCUCGAAAGCUAGGGUAGCGAACG
rnacentral:rRNA from 1 species